AAAUUGAAGAGUUUGAUCAUGGCUCAGAUUGAACGCUGGCGGCAGGCCUAACACAUGCAAGUCGAACGGUAACAGGAAACAGCUUGCUGUUUCGCUGACGAGUGGCGGACGGGUGAGUAAUGUCUGGGAAACUGCCUGAUGGAGGGGGAUAACUACUGGAAACGGUAGCUAAUACCGCAUAACGUCGCAAGACCAAAGAGGGGGACCUUCGGGCCUCUUGCACAUCGGAUGUGCCCAGAUGGGAUUAGCUUGUUGGUGGGGUAACGGCUCACC
rnacentral:rRNA from 1 species